CACCAUCCCCACGCAAACCGUCGUCUGGGUCGCCAACCGCCUCGACCCCGUCGACGCCUCCCCCUCCUUCCUCUCUCUCUCCCCCGACGGCAUUCUCACCCUCUCCUCCCCCAACUCCUCCACCCCACUCUCCACCACCGCAACUACCUUAACCAACCCCGUAGCCCAACUGUUGGACACCGGUAACUUCGUCGUGCGAGAAGCGACCGACGGCGGCGAUGCGGCCGCGUGGCAGAGCUUCGACUAUCCGACGGACACGCUGAUAGCCGGGAUGAAGCUGGGGGUUGACCGGCGGCGGGGGCUGAACUGGACGCUGACCGCCUGGCGAAGCGGGUCGGACCCGGCCCCGGGCGAGUACUACGCGGCGAUGGACACGGCGGGGGACCCGGAGGUGUUCCUCUACUCCGUAGCGGGUCGGGCGCGGAUCUGGCGAACGGGCCCGUGGGACGGGGUCCAGUUCAGCGGCGUCCCGGACACGGUCACGUACCAGGACUUCGCGUUCACGUUCACCAACGACGCCGACGAGGUCUCCUACAGCUUCAACGUCCUGAACCGGUCCAUCAUCUCCCGGCUCGUCGUGAACCAGACCGGGGUCGUGCAGCGGUCCAUCUGGCUCGCGUCGGGCCGGGUGUGGAACAUCUUCUGGUACGCGCCGCGGGACCCGUGCGACGACGUGUCCGCCUGCGGGCCCUACGGGCUGUGCGACCCCAACGACUCCCCCAUGUGCAGCUGCGUGCAGGGGUUCGAGCCGCGGUCGCCGCAGGACUGGGCGCUGCGGGACGGGUCGGGCGGGUGCGUGCGGAGGACGCGGCUCGACUGCGCCAACCGCACCGACGGGUUCGCCAAGGUGAGCCACGUGAAGCUCCCGGACACCACGAACUGUACGGUGGACCCGACCGUGGGGCUCGACCGGUGCGCCGCCAGGUGUUCGGCGAAUUGCUCGUGCACCGCCUACGCGGCCGCGAAUGUCAGCGGUGGGGCCCGGAGUGGGUGCGUUAUGUGGCACUCCGAGCUCACCGACAUGCGGGUCUACGUAGGCACGGGGCAGGAUCUGUACGUACGCUUGGCCGCGGCUGAUCUAGGUACGUACACGUACGUAUAAUAUACGUGCUAUCUAUUUAUUUAGUAAAUUAUUUAUACUUGCAAAUUGAUAGCUAUAUAAUACAAUAUAUAUACCCACACACUCGGAUUAUUCUCCUGCAUUUUCUUCGGAAUGGUCCCACAUAAAUCUCAGUGCUUGAUUGAUGAUCGAUAAAGACGUCUAAUUAAUCAGCUAUUUCAUGUAGCCAUCCUUAUCUAGUCAUAGUCUAUAGCCUCUCGCCAGCUUCUGAAAUUGUUUUUGUACUAAGAUUAAUUUUUUUGUUUUAUUUUUUUAGUCUUGUACGUAGAAACAAAUUACUUGAAAUCUGAAGCUAAUUAAUGCAAACUGUAUUACGAGAAAACAAUUUUACUUUGAGCUUGAAAUAGGAAGCUGAAAUAAGUUCGUAUGUUUUGAAAUCUAAAAGCUAAUUAUCAAGUAAGCAAUUUUAAGAGCAUUAAAACAAAAGGUUAAGGUUAAUUACUAAAUUUUUAUCCUUAAACAAAAUAGUUUGGAGUGGUUGGGUAUCAAGAAGCACAUGAUGUUCGAUAGAAGCCAAAAUUCAACGAGGGUAGUAAACGCCAAAAAAAAAAGCAGCAAAUGGGUAAUGUCGGCAACUGCCUCUACUGUAAUUGGCUUGGAAUGUAGCAUCGGCGCCGACUUAUGACACAGCCGUGCACGUCUUCGCUAACCAUUAAUUUUCCAAGAUUAAUUUGUUAAGGUUUACAAUGACUUGGAAUAGAAACUCUGGCGUGCCGUACCAAAAAGUUGUUGAGACUGGUCGAUGUGAACGAAAAUGUGUCGAUUAUAAAUCCAGUUCGACUUAAACAGCACAAAUGCAUGCAGAUCGAAGCUCUAGUCAUGCAAAUUAAUGAGCCCAUAAAUAGAUCACUUUAUAUGUAUUGUGUACCUGGAAAAUUGAGAAUUAUAUAAGCUUCAGAUUUAGAUCCCCUUGUUUUAUAGAGGAGGCUGAUCUUGUCCAAAUUUGAUUCGACCCCCCUACUGUGAUCACCUUUUGGUAGGGUAAAAAAUGAUUCAGGAUAACAUUUGAUUUACUUAGUUUCUAGUUAAUUUAAUUAGGGUGACAAUUUGAACUUAUAAUAAUUGCCAUGUAUAGCCAAUUAAAUUUCUCUCAUGUGCUUCAUAAAGGAGAAUGGAAUAUUCUAGACCAAAUCCGAAACACUUUUUUUGUGUUCCAUUCUUAAUAGACCCAGCAAGGCACAUGUGGCAUAUUGCUUACCCUGCAGUAUAAUGUGGUCCAAACACACUAAUUUAGUGACUGUAAUAAUCACUUGAACAACCUGAGUUGCAUCACUGUUUGUACAUAUCUCAGUAGCUGAUAUGAGCUGUUAUGAGAUUUAAAAGGAAAAAGUACUGUUGCCUUUAAUUAUUUAGCUUCACUAUCAAGCUGGACCAUGGUUUUAGGGCCUCUGUGGCCUUUUAUGGACCAUGUGAAAGCAUCUAUAUAUAAUGAUGAUAUAUAGGGCUUGAUCUGUAGGAUUGUAGUUUUUUCAUCAAAAUAAUUCCAAUAGCUUUGCAUUGAAGCUAGAAGAAGAAACUAAUGCAGUAGCUAGGUAAAGAGAAAAAUCCUCAGUGAGAAAUAUAGCUAAAGCAAGUACAUCUAUGUUUGAUGGGAGAGUGAUCUUUGGAUAGUGUCUUUCCAUCUUAUUCCAUGGACCUAAUUACUAUCCGCAAUAUUAGCUAGCCUAUAGGGAUCGAUGUUUGGGCUAUCCACUUUCGUGUUCAGAUCGAUUCGAGAAAUUUGCAUAAUAUUUGAUGGAAUAGCAGGGAUGUUUGUUGAUGUCUCCGCUUUAUCCCUCGACUGAACACUGCCUCAACGAUGUUUGGACUUUGGCAUCUAAUAGCUCAUUUCAGCUUCUCACUUAACCAAAAUGUGUUGGACAUUUCGUAAAAUCUAAUCUAGAAGCUGGCCAAACAAAAAUAUAUUACACCUCAAACAAGAUGUGGUUUUCCUUUGAUUAAUUGGAAUAUAUCUUCGCUUAAAUGAGAAGAUAUGGUGCUAAAUUAGGAAUGUCUACAGGUUCAGCCCCAAGCCAGUCUGGCAAGAGUGAUCAUGCACCCAUUGCACUCAUUGUAGGCCUUACUGUAGUGGCAUUCCUACUAGCAUGUGCUGGUUGCUAUAUCUGGAGAAGAAGGAAACUUAGGAAAUCAGGUAAUAAAACUGCUAAUUCAGUACACUUUCAAUAUUGUUUGGAAGCCCAAAUGAGUAUAAAUGGAAAUUAUAAGACAAUUAUUAACCGAUUGAAUAUACAGGUCCAGGCACGUCGGCGAGUACUAUUUCCUUCAGCCAUGAACAGCGCAAGGAGGAAAGUAUUCAAGAUAGUGAUAUAGAGUUGCCAUUAUUUGAUUUGGGCACUAUCGCGGUUGCUACUGAGGGGUUCUCUAACACAAAUAAACUCGGAGAAGGUGGAUUUGGACCAGUUUACAGGGUUAGUUUUUAACCUUUCAUUAACUUUCACAGUUGUGAUGGUUAUGAUUCUUUAAGUUGAGAGAUUAAUUCUGGUCAAAAAAUACAAAUCAGUCACUAUUCUGACAUUGCUAAAGAACCAACUGUAUCUGAAGCUGAAUCUACUCUGUAAUAUAAAUACGUUAUAAGAACUUGGAUUUUCGUAUACAUGAUGUGAAAGUGAGAUGCACUAAGAAAACUUUUGAGGAUGUUUUACCUGAUAGCUUAGGCAUUUUGAAGACCUGCUUAAUGAAUACAUGUAUGAUUACAGUUGAGCAUUUUUAUGAUAAAAAAGAUCUAGUCUUACAUGAUCUAUUUGAAUUAUUUAUGUCAUAAUUGACGAUCAGGGUAAGCUUGGCGACGGACAAGAAAUAGCUGUGAAAACGCUUGCAAAAACUUCAGUGCAAGGUCUCGACGAGUUCAAGAACGAGGUCAUGCUGAUAGCAAAACUUCAGCAUAGGAAUCUUGUUAGGCUACUUGGUUGCUGCAUCCAAGGAGAGGAGAGGAUGCUUAUAUAUGAAUACAUGGAAAACAAAAGCUUGGAUAUGUUUUUGUUCGGUAAGUCCACGCCAUUCAUUCUAAAUGCCUUCUUACUUUGUUUCUACACUAUAAUUUCGACAACGUAAUAUUUUGAUGAAAAGUAAACAGUUUGAGAAUUUUAGCAGAUAAAGCUUACAGCGCAUCACUAAAUUGGCAAACGCGGUAUCGGAUAAUUGAGGGGAUUGCUCGAGGGCUUGUUUACCUUCACCAGGAUUCAAGAUUUAGAGUUAUUCAUAGAGAUUUAAAGGCUAGUAAUAUUCUUCUUGAUAAGGAGAUGAGCCCCAAAAUCUCAGACUUUGGCAUGGCACGAAUUUUUGGCGGUGACGAGACCGAAGUCAAUACAAGAAAAGUAGUUGGUACCUAGUAAGUACAUAUGCUUGCAUAUAUACGAAGCAAUAUACUCUUGAUUAACAGUUCAUAAUCCUUAUCGAUUGUAUUUAAUUUUGCAGUGGAUAUAUGUCUCCGGAAUACGCAAUGGAUGGAAUUUUUUCAGUAAAAUCCGACGUAUUCAGUUUUGGGGUUUUAGUGUUAGAAAUUAUUAGUGGAAGGAGGAACAGAGGAGCAUAUGUUGAUUCCUCACACCUUAAUCUUCUUGCUCAUGUAAGUAUGUUUAAACUCAAACAAUUUAUAUUUUAACUGCUACAUUUUCUUAAACUUUUUGGAUUUAUAUUUAUAUACUUUUCGCAGGCAUGGAGUUUAUGGAAUGAGGGGAAGAGUUUAGAACUAGUAGACGAUUCUAUGGAUUAUUCCUUCCUCGCAAAUGAAGUUCUAAAAUGUGCGCACAUUGGUCUUUUGUGUGUUCAAGAGCACCCCGAGGAUCGUCCCCUGAUGUCGGCGGUCGUUUUGAUGCUUGGUAGUGAUGGAGCAUCACUGCCAACUCCGAAACAGCCCGGUUUUGCAAGGAGGAGGAUUCAGCUCGAUACGGAAUCAUCAUCAAGCAAGCAAGAUUCUAUCACGUUGAACGAUAUGACUAUAACCAUGAUCGAAGGUCGAUAGAAGGAACAAUUAUAUGUGUAGUUUGGCUGAAUUUGGUUUCAAUGAGGAAAUGUUAUAUAUUUGAGGUUUUGAUUUCUUUCUUUUCUUUCUUUUCUUUCCCACUUUUUGAUGGUCGGAAAAUGUAUAAAUAUGUUUACAAUCAUUGGAAUAUAUUUUUUUUCAUGUCGAUGAAAUUGAUACCCAAUUAGCUCAAAAACCUUGAAGUUGUGCAAUUGUUACAUACAUCAAAGGAACAACAAUUUUUUUUUGAUUAAACAGGGGUAUACCCUAUUUUAACAAAGUCAGAACAGAGAGUAUAGAAGCAGUCUAGUAAGGCGAAAAAAUGGAACGGCUAGAACGGCAAGAACAGCAUGGGUUGAUCGCAAUCAAGAUCUAGGAGCAAGAACCCAGAAACCAAAAAAAACCAAAAACCAAAAUCAAAGCCCCAAAAACCCCCAAAAAGCGCACACUCCUAGAUGCUGUCCAUGUCCCCGAGUGCGGCUUUCCUAGAUGCUGUCCAAAAAGAACAACAAUUCUUUCUACCAAUAUGAGUACAAUUGAAGUAUCAAACAAAUUCUUGUACACGAGACUAUUUUCGCGGAAAGAACGUCAAAAUAGUAAAAUCAAUUUCUGCAAAACCUCCAAAAAGAAAACAAAAAAAGAGAAAAAAAAGAAAAGAAAAAAAGUUAAUACACAUCUUUAUCUACCCUCUACAAUUAAUAGCUACAGUUACAAUAUUUGCAGUGUGGCCCUGCGACAAUGAUUCUAUAUCCAAAAAGCCCCUGCCGAUACUAAAUGGAGGCUCAUUCGAGCUUUCCCUGAAAAGAACCAACACAUAGUUAUAAAAAUUUCCAUAAUUAUCUCCGCGCACUUUAUAUCUCAACCUUAAUUGAAUCUACACAUUAGUCACAUCGUUCCAAGAAUUAACUACCAUGUAUACAGGGCCAAAUCCACCCUCUCCAAUCCUAUUAGCCAAUGAGAAACUGUCCGUAGGAUCCAAUAUCGCCCCUAGAUCGAAUGUUGGAAGGUUGAGACCUUCAUGAGUACUUGUUUCAUCUUCGAAGCUAUGAUCUUGUGUUGAUCGUACUUCCCAUCUUGAUUCUGAACCCGCGCACGUAUAUGUCGCAUGCAUGUCAAAUGGCAAGGCUUCUCAUAACAACACUCUGUGCCUUCUCUCUACGUUGCCUAGCUUUUAGGAGCAUCAAUUAUUAUGGAAAUUAAAAGCCAACAUGUAACACCCCAAUAGCAUUUUGGCCAAUAGUUUGGGCCUAACAAGUGAUUAUUACUAGCCAGUCGGAUCACUAUAAUUGGUAUCAGAGCCGAAUAGCAGUCAGAAGUCUGAGAGCUAGAUAUUAUGCAAGACAAAAUACUAUACCAACGGGUUUGGUGAGAGCCGCCUAUUGAAUCAGUAGAAGCCACUUCUAGAAUCUCACAUCGCCCGGUAAUAUUCUGGUUAGUCUGUAAUCUGAGCUUGGACCUGAUGAGAACGUCAUGAUUUAAACAUGCGAGUUUAUAAUGUCUCAAUAGUCUCGCAUCGGAUGAAAAAAUAAUUUUGGUUAGAAUAUAUGAAGGCUCAAAGAUAGUAAUAAUAACUGGGUUUAAACAUUUAGACUAGUAAUUUGGAUCCAACAAGUUAUUAUUAUUAGCUGGUCGGAUCGUCACAAUUAUUAUUAGAGACCAGACAAUCUGUCUGUAAUCUGGCACAUACAGUAUAUGACCACCAUGCAUCAAAAUGCUUUUCCAAUGAAAAUUGUAGUUCCUUACGAGGCUAGCUCACUCUAUUCUCCAUGAUCUUAUGCAAGUUCUUAGAUACAAAUUAAUCAAGCCCAAAAAUAUAUAUAAAAAAUAUCCCUCACUUCUUUUGGUAUUUCCUUUUUCUUUUAACUUUUUUUUGUGUCUUUUAUUUAAUGCUUCUUCUCCUCAUUUUUCUCGCUUUUCUUCAUCAUCUCCUCCUCUCUUUCAUGAGUGGAGUCACCGACCGAUAACAAUCUAUAAAAACUCACAACUUACACAAGGAUAUAUCCUCAUUCCGGUGCGUACGAAAGUGUGAACUCUUCAUUAGAAUAUUUAUUAUAAUCUAGUUAUAUUUAUACUCUAAUUAAUAUUUAAAUUUUAAUUUAUCUCUAAUAGAUUUAAAUAUUAAUUUUUAUCUAAUUAAAAUAUUAACUACAAAUCUAACCACUACCCAAAUCUUAACAAGUGGGACGUGACGUAAAUGGUAAUUGUUUCCCGGAAAGGAUAAGGCCAUGAGUCUUAAUUAAUUGUUGGAUGGGAGUUGAUCGAUGACCCAUGAGUAUUGACUUAUACAGAUUAAUAACUUGCUCAUUUAAUUAAUUGGCCCGCUUGUAUGUAAUUAAAUUCUUCAAGCAUUUUCUUAUUAUAUAGUAUUAGAUAUAUGAGAAAUUUUCACAUCACAGUACCGUUUCCUUUUGGUUAUUAUUGCAACCACACAUUGGGCUACUUAAAAACCCGUUUACUUUAUUUGACUUCUCUAUGAAGUUGAUAAUAAUUUGACACAAAGCUACAUACACCAAUGACAUGUCUUCAAUUAAUUUUUGGCCAUUGAUUUCCAGCAAUAUUGCAACGCUGUUACAUAUAGUUAGCUUACGGUUUAUAACCAAGUCAUUAGUAUCUCAAUAAUAAACACCGAAGUAUAUAUUUAGAAUUGUGGGUACGCAAGAUUUGAGGUGAAAAAAAAAAUUUAGGCCUGUUUGGAUGCACAGUAAAAAAUCUCCACGGGAUUUAUAAACUGUGGUUUUGGUCCAAAUAAAAUAAAGAAUUCUGUAACUCUAAAAAAAUUCCACGGAUUCAAUUUUUAAACUGUUUGGAUGCGCAUUGUGUAAUUUCACGGGAUUUCUCUAAAUUUUAAAAUUAAAAGUUAAAAUUUCAAAUUUUAAAUUUCAAAUUUCAAUGAAAAUUAAAAUUUAAAAUUUGAUAUGUGAAAUGCGAAAUUUUAAAUUUUGAAAAUUAAAAAUUAAAAAUAUAAAAAUCUAAAUUUAAUUUUAAAAUUUUGAAAUUUAAAAUUUUAAAAUAAAAAAUUUUAAAUUAAAAAAUAAAUUUAAAAUUUAAAGUUCAAAUUUGAAAUUUGAACUAUGAGAUUUGAGAUUUAAAAUUUGAAAUUUGAAAUUUAAAAUUUAAAAUCUAAAAUUUAAAAUUUAAAGUUUAAAAUUUAAAAUUUAAAAUUUAAAAUUUAAAAUUUGAAAUUUGAAAUUUAAAAUUUGAAAUUUAAAAUUUGAAAUUUAAAAUUUAAAAUUUAAAAUUUGAAGUUUAAAAUUUGAUCUGUGAAAUUUAAAAUUUCAAAUUUGAAUUUCGAAAACUAAAAUUUAAAAUAAAAUUUGAAAUUCUAAAUUUGAAAUUUGAAAUUUGAAAUUUAAAAAUUAAAUUUGAAAAUAAAAAAUUUAGAAUUAAAAUUUGAAAUUAUGAAUUAAAAAAUUUAAAAUUUGAAAUUUAUUAUUUGUAAACUAAAAUUUAAAACUUGAUAUUCGAAAAUUAAAAUUUGAAUUUAUAAAAUUUAAAAAUUUAAAAUUUAAAAUUUGACAUUAAAACUUUGAAAUUAUAAAAUUUAAUUUUUGAUAUUUCAAAUUUAAAAUUCAAAAUUUAAAUUUGAAAUUAAAAUUUUGAAUAUAAAUUAAAUUGUAAAAUUUAAAAUUUGAAAUUUAAAAAUUAGAACUUGAUGCAACUUUGCCCAAAAAUGGUGGAAUUCUUUUUUCCUUUGGUUAGAGUGGAUUAUAAUUUUACUCUAUUUUUUGCUGUAUAGUUUAACUAUACUCGAAAAAUUACGGUAUAUUUUUUUUUCUCCCAAACGCUUUAUAGGAUAAAUUUUCCUACCGGCGUAGUAUAGUUUAACUAUACUACAUUUUUAAUGGUAUCCAAACAGGGCCUUAGCAAUUUAUAAGAAUCUGAAAAUUUAGAUUUUACAAAGAUACAUUAAUUUGUGUGGGACCCUAAGGCUGCGUUUAGUUGGAGAACUAAAUAACCUCUUAAUUAUAUAGUCAACUUAAUUAUAUAGUGAAACGUUUUAAAUAAUCUUAACAUUCCUGCUAGCACGUAUAGUUGAUAUCUAAUAAUAAAUAUUCUUUUAAUAUGAAAAGAGUUUAAAAUCAAUUUUAAUAUUAUUAUAUUAUCUAAAAGAGUAAUCUUGCAAAUAAAUGAUCAUGUAUUUUGGCACUUCAAAGGUCAUAAAUACAUAAUAGCUACACUAUCCUACUUCCUUUUUUAAUGGAAAUCUUAUCUUAUAUAGAAGAAAAAAAAAAAAAAAACUUUUCUAGCUAGUAUACCUCUCUUAAAGGGAAAAAAUGAAUACAUUACUCCCAUGCAGCAGCAGCAGUAGCAGUAGCACUCCUCUCUGCAUCAUUCUAUUAUUAUUUCUGCUCUCAAUCUCAUCCAUUACUGCUCACGCGCGGGACACGAUAACAGUAGGCAGCCCGCUCGCAGAGAACGAGACGCUCGUCUCUGCGGGCGGCUACUUCGCCCUCGGCUUCUUCAACCCCCCGAACAACCCCGACCGCUACGUCGGCAUCUGGUUCAACAACAUCCCCACGCAAACCGUCGUCUGGGUCGCCAACCGCCUCGACCCCGUCGCCGCCGCCGCCUCCCCCUCCUUCCUCUCUCUCUCCCCCGACGGCAUCCUCACCCUCGCCUCCCCCAACUCCUCCACCCCACUCUCCACCACCGCAACUACCUUAACCAACCCCGUAGCUCAACUGUUGGACACCGGUAACUUCGUCGUGCGAGAAGCGACCGACGCCGGCGAUGCGGCCGCGUGGCAGAGCUUCGACUAUCCGACGGACACGAUGAUAGCCGGGAUGAAGCUGGGCGUGGAC
rnacentral:lncRNA from 1 species